rnacentral:rRNA from 1 species
UACAGAGGGGGCAAGCGUUGUCCGGACUUACUGGGUGUAAAGCGCAUGCAGGUGGCUGUGCAAGUAUGCUGUGAAAGCCCCGUGCUUAACACGGGGAGGCCAGUAUAGACUGCACGGCUCGAGGACUGCAGAGGGUAGGGGAAUUGCUGGUGUAGUGGUGAAAUGCGUAGAGAUCAGCAGGAACACCGGUGGCGAAGGCGGGUCUCUGGGCAACAACUGACGCUGAGGAGCGAAAGCGUGGGGAGCGAACAGG